GAUGAACGCUGGCGGUAUGCUUAACACAUGCAAGUCGAACGGACUCUUCGGAGUUAGUGGCGGACGGGUGAGUAACGCGUGAGAAUCUGGCUUUGGGUUCGGGACAACCACUGGAAACGGUGGCUAAUACCGGAUGUGCCGAGAGGUAAAAGAGAAAUUGCCUGAAGAUGAGCUCGCGUCUGAUUAGCUAGUUGGUGAGGUAAAGGCUCACCAAGGCAGCGAUCAGUAGCUGGUCUGAGAGGAUGACCAGCCACACUGGGACUGAGACACGGCCCAGACUCCUACGGGAGGCAGCAGUGGGGAAUUUUCCGCAAUGGGCGAAAGCCUGACGGAGCAAUACCGCGUGAGGGAAGAAGGCGCUUGGGUUGUAAACCUCUUUUCUUAGGGAAGAACAAAAUGACGGUACCUAAGGAAGCAGCAUCGGCUAACUCCGUG
rnacentral:rRNA from 1 species